rnacentral:rRNA from 1 species
GAUGAACGCUGGCGGCGUGCCUAAUACAUGCAAGUAGAACGCUGAAGCUUGGUGCUUGCACCGAGCGGAUGAGUUGCGAACGGGUGAGUAACGCGUAGGUAACCUGCCUCUUAGCGGGGGAUAACUAUUGGAAACGAUAGCUAAUACCGCAUAAAAGUCGACAUUGCAUGAUGUUGACUUGAAAGGUGCAACUGCAUCACUAAGAGAUGGACCUGCGUUGUAUUAGCUAGUUGGUGAGGUAACGGCUCACCAAGGCGACGAUACAUAGCCGACCUGAGAGGGUGAUCGGCCACACUGGGACUGAGACACGGCCCAGACUCCUACGGGAGGCAGCAGUAGGGAAUCUUCGGCAAUGGACGGAAGUCUGACCGAGCAACGCCGCGUGAGUGAAGAAGGUUUUCGGAUCGUAAAGCUCUGUUGUAAGAGAAGAACGAGUGUGAGAGUGGAAAGUUCACACUGUGACGGUAACUUACCAGAAAGGGACGGCUAACUACGUGCCAGCAGCCGCGGUAAUACGUAGGUCCCGAGCGUUAUCCGGAUUUAUUGGGCGUAAAGCGAGCGCAGGCGAUUAGAUAAGUCUGAAGUUAAAGGCUGUGGCUUAACCAUAGUACGCUUUGGAAACUGUUUAACUUGAGUGCAGAAGGGGAGAGUGGAAUUCCAUGUGUAGCGGUGAAAUGCGUAGAUAUAUGGAGGAACACCGGUGGCGAAAGCGGCUCUCUGGUCUGUAACUGACGCUGAGGCUCGAAAGCGUGGGGAGCAAACAGG